rnacentral:rRNA from 1 species
UACGUAGGGGGCAAGCGUUGUCCGGAUUUAUUGGGCGUAAAGAGCGUGUAGGCGGCCGCACAGGUCCGUUGUGAAACUGGAGGCUUAACCUUCAGACGUCGAUGGAAACCGUGCGGCUAGAGUCCGGAAGAGGAGAAUGGAAUUCCUGGUGUAGCGGUGAAAUGCGCAGAUAUCGGGAGGAACACCAGUGGCGAAGGCGGCACUCUGGGCCGGUACUGACGCUGAGGAGCGAAAGCGUGGGGAGCGAACAGG